AAGGAGUGCUAACUCAACAAGUAUUUACUUUAAGGUUCUAAUAUGGGCCUGUAGCUCAGGUGGUUAGAGCGCACGCCUGAUAAGCGUGAGGUCGGAGGUUCGAGUCCCCCCAGGCCCACCAUUGAUAUUUUAUAUAUCAUACCAUAUUAACUGAUUUUUAGAAUUUAAAUUCUAAAAAUCAUAAGCACAUUGAAAAUCGAAUAACAGUAUAUAUUUC
rnacentral:misc_RNA from 1 species